rnacentral:rRNA from 1 species
UUAAGUGACUAAGCGUACACGGUGGAUGCCUGGGCAGUCAGAGGCGAUGAAGGACGUACUAACUUGCGAUAAGCGCAGAUAAGGCAGUAAGAGCCGUUUGAGUCUGCGAUUUCCGAAUGGGGAAACCCAACUGCAUAAGCAGUUACUGUUAACUGAAUACAUAGGUUAACAGAGCAAACCGGGGGAACUGAAACAUCUAAGUACCCCGAGGAGAAGAAAUCAACCGAGAUUCCGGUAGUAGCGGCGAGCGAACCUGGAUUAGCCCUUAAGCACUCGGUGAAGUAGGUGAACAAGCUGGAAAGCUUGGCGAUACAGGGUGAUAGCCCCGUAACCGACGCUUCAUCGAGCGUGAAAUCGAGUAGGGCGGGACACGUGAUAUCCUGUCUGAAUAUGGGGGGACCAUCCUCCAAGGCUAAAUACUCCUGACUGACCGAUAGUGAACCAGUACCGUGAGGGAAAGGCGAAAAGAACCCCUGUGAGGGGAGUGAAAUAGAACCUGAAACCGUGUACGUACAAGCAGUAGGAGCACCUUCGUGGUGUGACUGCGUACCUUUUGUAUAAUGGGUCAGCGACUUAUAUUCAGUGGCAAGGUUAACCGUAUAGGGGAGCCGUAGCGAAAGCGAGUCUUAACUGGGCGCUCAGUCUCUGGAUAUAGACCCGAAACCGGGUGAUCUAGCCAUGGGCAGGUUGAAGGUUGAGUAACAUCAACUGGAGGACCGAACCGACUAAUGUUGAAAAAUUAGCGGAUGACUUGUGGCUAGGGGUGAAAGGCCAAUCAAACUCGGAGAUAGCUGGUUCUCCCCGAAAGCUAUUUAGGUAGCGCCUCGGACGAAUACUACUGGGGGUAGAGCACUGUUAAGGCUAGGGGGUCAUCCCGACUUACCAACCCUUUGCAAACUCCGAAUACCAGUAAGUACUAUCCGGGAGACACACGGCGGGUGCUAACGUCCGUCGUGGAGAGGGAAACAACCCAGACCGCCAGCUAAGGUCCCAAAGUAUUGCUAAGUGGGAAACGAUGUGGGAAGGCUCAGACAGCUAGGAUGUUGGCUUAGAAGCAGCCAUCAUUUAAAGAAAGCGUAAUAGCUCACUAGUCGAGUCGGCCUGCGCGGAAGAUGUAACGGGGCUAAGCAAUACACCGAAGCUGCGGCAAUGUCUUUUAGACAUUGGGUAGGGGAGCGUUCUGUAAGCCGUUGAAGGUGAAUCGUAAGGUUUGCUGGAGGUAUCAGAAGUGCGAAUGCUGACAUGAGUAACGACAAAGGGGGUGAAAAACCUCCUCGCCGGAAGACCAAGGGUUCCUGUCCAACGUUAAUCGGGCAGGGUGAGUCGACCCCUAAGGUGAGGCCGAAAGGCGUAAUCGAUGGGAAACGGGUUAAUAUUCCCGUACUUCUGACUAUUGCGAUGGGGGACGGAGAAGGCUAGGUGGGCCAGGCGACGGUUGUCCUGGUUCAAGUGCGUAGGCUUGAGAGUUAGGUAAAUCCGGCUCUCUCUAAGGCUGAGACACGACGUCGAGCUACUACGGUAGUGAAGUCAUUGAUGCCAUGCUUCCAGGAAAAGCCUCUAAGCUUCAGAUAGUCAGGAAUCGUACCCCAAACCGACACAGGUGGUCGGGUAGAGAAUACCAAGGCGCUUGAGAGAACUCGGGUGAAGGAACUAGGCAAAAUGGUACCGUAACUUCGGGAGAAGGUACGCUCUUGAUGGUGAAGUCCCUCGCGGAUGGAGCUGACGAGAGUCGCAGAUACCAGGUGGCUGCAACUGUUUAUUAAAAACACAGCACUGUGCAAAAUCGCAAGAUGACGUAUACGGUGUGACGCCUGCCCGGUGCCGGAAGGUUAAUUGAUGGGGUUAGCGCAAGCGAAGCUCUUGAUCGAAGCCCCGGUAAACGGCGGCCGUAACUAUAACGGUCCUAAGGUAGCGAAAUUCCUUGUCGGGUAAGUUCCGACCUGCACGAAUGGCGUAAUGAUGGCCACGCUGUCUCCACCCGAGACUCAGUGAAAUUGAAAUCGCUGUGAAGAUGCAGUGUACCCGCGGCUAGACGGAAAGACCCCGUGAACCUUUACUACAGCUUGGCACUGAACAUUGAACCUACAUGUGUAGGAUAGGUGGGAGGCUAUGAAGACGUGACGCCAGUUGCGUUGGAGCCGUCCUUGAAAUACCACCCUUGUAUGUUUGAUGUUCUAACUUAGACCCAUUAUCUGGGUUGAGGACAGUGCCUGGUGGGUAGUUUGACUGGGGCGGUCUCCUCCCAAAGAGUAACGGAGGAGCACGAAGGUGGGCUAAUCACGGUUGGACAUCGUGAGGUUAGUGCAAUGGCAUAAGCCCGCUUAACUGCGAGAAUGACGGUUCGAGCAGGUGCGAAAGCAGGUCAUAGUGAUCCGGUGGUUCUGUAUGGAAGGGCCAUCGCUCAACGGAUAAAAGGUACUCCGGGGAUAACAGGCUGAUACCGCCCAAGAGUUCAUAUCGACGGCGGUGUUUGGCACCUCGAUGUCGGCUCAUCACAUCCUGGGGCUGAAGUCGGUCCCAAGGGUAUGGCUGUUCGCCAUUUAAAGUGGUACGCGAGCUGGGUUUAGAACGUCGUGAGACAGUUCGGUCCCUAUCUGCCGUGGGCGUUGGAAGAUUGAAGGGGGCUGCUCCUAGUACGAGAGGACCGGAGUGGACGAACCUCUGGUGUUCGGGUUGUGUCGCCAGACGCAUUGCCCGGUAGCUAAGUUCGGAAUUGAUAAGCGCUGAAAGCAUCUAAGCGCGAAGCGAGCCCUGAGAUGAGUCUUCCCUGACAGUUUAACUGUCCUAAAGGGUUGUUCGAGACUAGAACGUUGAUAGGCAGGGUGUGUAAGCGUUGUGAGGCGUUGAGCUAACCUGUACUAAUUGCCCGUGAGGCUUAACCAU